GGUCAGGCGGUCCUAAGUGAUCCGGUAAAUCGGAACAGAGACGGGGUGCCUGACAUUGUCCGUUCGCGGGCUUUGUUCAGUAAUCUGCAAAGUACUGUUGCAUUGCAGCCCCCUGUAGCGAAAGGGAAUCGGGUUAAUAUUCCCGACCCUGUCCACGGAGAUUGGUGUGUGUCGGGCCUUUGGUUCGGCGUGCGCCCAGCGCGGUAACGCAACCGACCUCGGAGACGUCGGCGAGAGUUCUGGGAAGAGUUCUCUUUUCUUUGUUAGGAGUGCAUCCACCCCCUGGAAUCGGCUUGUCCGGAGAUAGGGGGCUAGCCUCCGUAAAGCACCACCCUUCUUGUGGUGUCCGGAACGCUCUUGUCGGCCCUUGAAAAUCCGAGCGAGGCAGUAUAAUUUUCGUGGCAGGCCGUACCCAUAUCCGCAGCAGGUCUCCAAGGUGAACAGCCUCUGGCAAUUGAACAAUGUAGGUAAGGGAAGUCGGCAAAUUGGAUCCGUAACUUCGGGAGAAGGAUUGGCUCUGGGGGCCGAGUCAGACAGGCCGAGAUCAGAUACGUGUCGGUCCAGUUGGGGGCUGGUUUCUUUGCUGCUUUGUGUGCUUCGGUGCGCGUUGUGGUGAGGUUACUGGACUCUGACCCGGGUCGAUCGUGGGCGGUUUCAGCUGUUAGUGUCGUGCAGCUAGCAACGCGCGAGGACAUGUUCCACGUUGCGUCAAGCGGCUGUACUUCCAUGGUCUGGCGCGCGACGGCUAACUCAGAACUGGCACGGACCAGGGGAAUCCGACUGUCUAAUUAAAACAAAGCAUUGCG
rnacentral:ncRNA from 1 species